CCGUAGGUGAACCUGCGGAAGGAUCAUUAAUGAAAUUUAUGACUGGAGUUGUAGCUGGCCUUUAAAAACGGCAUGUGCACGCUCCUUUCACUAAUCCACACACACCUGUGCACCUUCGCGGGGGUCUCUUCGUUAACUCGAAGAGGCUCGCGUCCCUUUACACACCCUUUGUAUGUCUUAAGAAUGUCUACUCGAUGUAAUAAAACGCAUCUAAUACAACUUUCAACAACGGAUCUCUUGGCUCUCGCAUCGAUGAAGAACGCAGCGAAAUGCGAUAAGUAAUGUGAAUUGCAGAAUUCAGUGAAUCAUCGAAUCUUUGAACGCACCUUGCGCCCUUUGGUAUUCCGAAGGGCACACCUGUUUGAGUGUCGUGAAAUUCUCAACCCUCUUCACUUUUGUGAACGUAGUGGAUUGGACUUGGAGGCUUUGCCGGGCUUCACCGCUCGGCUCCUCUCAAAUGCAUUAGUGCGUCUUGUUGCGACGUGCGCCUCGGUGUGAUAAUUAUCUACGCUGUGGUGUGCUUGCUUCUGUGGAGACGCGCUUCCUAACCGUCCGAAAGGACAGCUUUCAUCGAACUUUGACCUCAAAUCAGGUGGGACUACCCGCUGAACUUAAGCAUAUCAAUAAGCGGAGGA
rnacentral:rRNA from 1 species